rnacentral:rRNA from 1 species
AAUGAACGCUGGCGGCGUGCCUAACACAUGCAAGUCGAGCGGACAGACGGGGAGCUUGCUCCUCUGCCGUUAGCGACGGGCGGGUGAGUAACACGUGGAUAACCUACCUAUAAGACUGGGAUAAGUACGGGAGACCGGAUACAAUACCGGAUCAUAUGUUGAACGGCAGGGAUCAAUGGAGAAAGAGGGAUUUGAUGUGUCUAAGAGAUGGUUCCGCGCCGGAUUAGCUAGUUGGUAAGGUAACGGCGUACCAAGGCGACGAUGCGUAGCCGACCUGAGAGGGUGAUCAGCCACACUGGAACUGAGACACGGUCCAGACUCCUACGGGAGGCAGCAGUAGGGAAUCUUCGGCAAUGGGCGAAAGCCUGAUCGAGCCACGCCGCGUGAGUGAAGAAGGUCUUCGGAUUGUAAAGCCCUUUUAUUGGGGAAGAACAGCAGUAUGUUAAUCCCUGGCUGUUUUGACGUUACCUAAAGAAUAAGCACCGGCUAACUUCGUG